CCUACGGGAGGCAGCAGUGGGGAAUCUUGCGCAAUGGGCGAAAGCCUGACGCAGCAACGCCGCGUGCGGGAUGAAGGCCUUCGGGCUGUAAACCGCUUUCAGCAGGAACGAAAAUGACGGUACCUGCAGAGGAAGGAGCGGCCAACUACGUGCCAGCAGCCGCGGUGACACGUAGGCUCCAAGCGUUGUCCGGAUUUAUUGGGCGUAAAGAGCUCGUAGGCGGUCUAAUAAGUCGGGUGUGAAAACUCUGGGCUCAACCCGGAGACGCCAUCCGAUACUGUUAUGACUUGAGUUCAGGAGGGGAGCGGGGAAUUCCUAGUGUAGCGGUGAAAUGCGCAGAUAUUAGGAGGAACACCGGUGGCGAAGGCGCCGCUCUGGACUGAAACUGACGCUGAGGAGCGAAAGCAUGGGUAGCAAACAGGAUUAGAUACCCUGGUAGUCCAUGCCGUAAACGGUGGGCACUAGGUGUGGGUUUCAACUAACGAAAUCCGCGCCGUCGCUAACGCAUUAAGUGCCCCGCCUGGGGGAGGUACGGUCGCGAGAACGUAAACGUAACGAAAGAAGUAAGUACGACGUUGAGUAGUUGCGACGACGACGACGAGGGAGGAGG
rnacentral:rRNA from 1 species